CGUGCAUUUCCGAAAGCACAACUUCUUUGGAGAGCUCAUCAUGGCCCAGGUCUUGCUGUUCAUGGUGCUUCUCAAUUACUAUGCUGGUGUCCAUUCUCAGGGAACAUUGACUCAGUCAUCUUCUGUUUCUGUGUCCUCGGGACAGACAGUCACACUCUCCUGCACCAAAGACAGUGGAAGCUGGGGCAGCUAUGCCAGUUGGUAUCAGCAGAAAUCUGGAGAGGGCCCUCGCUUUAUCCACUGCAAUGGCUGCAGCAGAGGUGACAAGAUCUCGGAUCGGUUCACGGCAACUGCUUCUGGAAACACAGGCUCUUUAACCAUCACAAAUAUUCAGGCCGGAGAUGAAGCCGAUUAUUACUGUGGGUGGUGGUACAGCACAGGCAGCUCAUAUCACGGUGGUCCAUUCUCAUGGGGAAGUGAAACAAAAACUGUCAGUUCUCCUCCCAAGAGGAAGAAAGUCAGAGAUUCUGGAGAGCUGAAGAGCUGA